rnacentral:rRNA from 1 species
CCUACGGGGGGCAGCAGUGAGGAAUAUUGGUCAAUGGGCUAAGGCCUGAACCAGCCAAGUCGCGUGAGGGAAGACGGUCCUAUGGAUUGUAAACCUCUUUUGUCGGGGAGCAACGAGGCCACGUGUGGCCGAAGUGAGAGUACCCGAAGAAAAAGCAUCGGCUAACUCCGUGCCAGCAGCCGCGGUAAUACGGAGGAUGCGAGCGUUAUCCGGAUUUGUUGGGUUUAAAGGGUGCGUAGGCGGAACAUUAAGUCAGCGGUAAAAUGGAGGGGCUCAACCCCUUUAAGCCGUUGAAACUGGUGAGCUUGAGUGGGCGAGAGGUAUGCGGAAUGCGUGGUGUAGCGGUGAAAUGCGUAGAUAUCACGCAGAACUCCGAUUGCGAAGGCAGCAUACCGGCGCCCGACUGACGCUGAGGCACGAAAGCGUGGGGAUCGAACAGGAUUAGAUACCCGAGUAGUC